rnacentral:rRNA from 1 species
UGGGCUUGACAUGUCCGGAGGUCUGCAGAGAUGCGGGAGUGCCCUUCGGGGAAUCGGAACAC